UACGUAGGGUGCAAGCGUUAAUCGGAAUUACUGGGCGUAAAGCGUGCGCAGGCGGCUAUGCAAGUCAGAUGUGAAAUCCCCGGGCUCAACCUGGGAACUGCAUUUGUGAGUGCAUGGCUAGAGUACGGUAGAGGGGGAUGGAAUUCCGCGUGUAGCAGUGAAAUGCGUAGAUAUGCGGAGGAACACCGAUGGCGAAGGCAAUCCCCUGGACCUGUACUGACGCUCAUGCACGAAAGCGUGGGGAGCAAACAGG
rnacentral:rRNA from 1 species